rnacentral:rRNA from 1 species
AGGACGAACGCUGGCGGCGUGCCUAACACAUGCAAGUCGAGCGAGGAGAUCCUUCGGGAUGAUCCUAGCGGCGGACGGGUGAGUAACACGUGGGCAACCUGCCUCAUAGAGAGGAAUAGCCUUCCGAAAGGGAGAUUAAUACCUCAUAACAUUGCAGUUUCGCAUGAAACAGCAAUUAAAGGAGCAAUCCGCUAUGAGAUGGGCCCGCGGCGCAUUAGCUAGUUGGUGAGGUAACGGCUCACCAAGGCGACGAUGCGUAGCCGACCUGAGAGGGUGAUCGGCCACAUUGGGACUGAGGCACGGCCCAGACUCCUACGGGAGGCAGCAGUGGGGAAUAUUGCACAGUGGGGGAAACCCUGAUGCAAGCAACGCCGCGUGAGUGAUGACGGCCUUCGGGUUGUAAAGCUCUGUCUUCAGGGACGAUAAUGACGGUACCUGAGGAGGAAGCCACGGCUAACUACGUGCCAGCAGCGGC